GGAUGACAUCUGUAAGCAAGAUGUUAUCCGAUACAAUCUUCCUACAAAAAUUUCUGUCCUUUUCUUCUCGCAGAACUGAAGUGAAGCCUGUGAGUCCCAAACUGACAGAGACAGUU